AGCGAACGCUGGCGGCAGGCUUAACACAUGCAAGUCGAGCGGGCGUAGCAAUACGUCAGCGGCAGACGGGUGAGUAACGCGUGGGAACGUACCUUUUGGUUCGGAACAACACAGGGAAACUUGUGCUAAUACCGGAUAAGCCCUUACGGGGAAAGAUUUAUCGCCGAAAGAUCGGCCCGCGUCUGAUUAGCUAGUUGGUAGGGUAAUGGCCUACCAAGGCGACGAUCAGUAGCUGGUCUGAGAGGAUGAUCAGCCACAUUGGGACUGAGACACGGCCCAAACUCCUACGGGAGGCAGCAGUGGGGAAUAUUGGACAAUGGGGGCAACCCUGAUCCAGCCAUGCCGCGUGAGUGAUGAAGGCCCUAGGGUUGUAAAGCUCUUUUGUGCGGGAAGAUAAUGACGGUACCGCAAGAAUAAGCCCCGGCUAAACUUCGUGCCAGCAGCCGCGGUAAU
rnacentral:rRNA from 1 species